rnacentral:misc_RNA from 1 species
GUUGUCUCAGAAGAAAUUUUUGAUAGUGCUUGAUGAUGUUUGGACAGAAAGCUACGAUCAUUGGACUCUCUUUUGCAGUCCUUUUGAGCUAGGAGCAAUGGGAAGUAGAAUUAUUAUCACAACUCGCAAUGAAAGUGUCUCAUCCAUGAUGGGUACCAUUCGAGGUUAUUCUCUCAAGCAGUUGCCCAUUGAAGAUUGCCUGUCUGUAUUUUCCCAACAUGCUUUGGGAGCCCCAA